AAACAUCCUUCAUCUUCUCAUCUGGUGUAAAGAUUUUGGACAUCUUGGACACGUUUAAUGUUUCCAGAUGACUUGCUGGAUUUAUAAAGUGGCCGUGUCUUGAGGUUGUUUAGUAUGGUGUGAUUCACUUUCUAUGUGCAAUUUGAUGCAAAUCGCAGUACUGAUUUUUCUACUCAGCCAGUUAUCAUAGACAAGAAAAAAUAAAGUAGUGACUGCAGGUUGAGGGAAAAUAAUGGAGUAAAACUACCGGCACUGCACUAAAAAUGUACUUAAGGGAAAGUAAAAGUACACGUUUUAAAACUACUUAGUAAAUUACAACUCCUGAGGAAACAACUCAAUACAGUACAGAAUUUCCAAUUUAUAAUCUAAAAAUGAUGAAGCAUUUAAAUGUUUUUACAGCUUUUUGUUGAACAUUGUUUUACAGGACUUCUGGCAUCCUGUAAUGCCAGAAUCUGGCAUCCCACAUUAAAAGUGCAACACAAAACCAGACAGUCUGGAGAUGUUUUCGCAGUGGGAUGGUUUGGCAACGGCGAGAAUCCCUAGUGAGGGAGAAAGAAAAAUGACGGGCAGCGGAGGGAGGAAUGAAGUCUCAUUUGGCAAGAGACUCAAACACCCACCCACCCACAUACAGGAGAACAAGGACCCAGUUGGCUGAGGUUUCUGAUAAACCACUGCAGUGUGGGAAAGCUCAUCACUCAUCUUCAAAUGGUUAUCAGAAAAAAAGCUAAAGAGCACACACUGGGAGUCUGUUUGGGGAAAAACUUCCAGUAGAUACAAAAGAACCUGUGCUCACACUCACAUGCGUAUUUCAUUCACAGGUCAGGCAAAUGUUGUAAAGACAUUAUUUUAUUCAACCUAAAAGUAUACAUAGUUUGACAGAGCAGCAGUUUGGAUGGACUGGGAUAUACUGUCUAACGUUUGCAUUUGUACAUACCAUUAUGCCCUUCAUGAAUGUUCUAAUAUAAGAUCAUAUCACCAACCUGAUUUCACCAAGUAAGAUAUGUUCCUGGAUUAACAUCUAUAUUGAUCCUGGAACAACAUUCCAAUCAGCCAAUCAGAAUUAGGGGCCCUUUUACUGUUUAUGUUAAUUUAGGCUUAGUUACUGCUAUUCAACUAUAACCCCCCUCUGAUUUUUAGAAUAAUUUACAGUUAUGGUUGGGUUUAGGGGUAGGGAAUAGGUAUGGAUUAUAUUUUUGAACAAAAAUUAUGUACCAGGAUCAACAUAGAUGUUAAUCCAGGAUCACAUCGUAUUUGGCAAAAUCAUGACAUGCACAUAUCACAUGUGAAUAGUGUCUUCAAAACAGAAAGUUCAUAGAUUGUUAUGCUUGUUGAAUCAUUGGCUCAGUCAAAAUGUGUUGACAAUGAAAUCAAAUGUAUUUAAUUAAUUGUAAAAAAUAAAUGUUUAAAGACAUGAGGCUCA